rnacentral:rRNA from 1 species
CUACGGGGGGCAGCAGUGAGGAAUAUUGGACAAUGGAUGGCAAUCUGAUCCAGCCAUGCCGCGUGAAGGAAGAAUGUCCUAUGGAUUGUAAACUUCUUUUGUAUGGGAGCAAUAAGUUGUACGCGUACAAUGAUGAGAGUACCAUACGAAUAAGCAUCGGCUAACUCCGUGCCAGCAGCCGCGGUAAUACGGAGGAUGCGAGCGUUAUCCGGAUUUAUUGGGUUUAAAGGGUGCGUAGGCGGUUACUGUAAGUCAGCGGUGAAAUUUAGGGGCUUAACCCCUACCGUGCCGUUGAUACUGCAGAGCUGGAAUAGGGAUGCUGUUGGCGGAAUGUGUAGUGUAGCGGUGAAAUGCAUAGAUAUUACACAGAACACCGAUUGCGAAGGCAGCUGACAAAUCCCUUAUUGACGCUGAUGCACGAAAGUGUGGGGAUCGAACAGGAUUAGAUACCCGCGUAGUC